AACUAGUAAUGUUGGAUUAGGG
rnacentral:miRNA from 1 species